UUUUAUUAAAAUUUGAAGAUACCCUCUAAAUUUGUCCGAUGGGGAUGGUCUAAUAGAUUUUUCGGGUUUUGAAUUAUAUUUGAUUAAGAAGAUGUAUUUAUUUAUUUGAAGUUUCAAUUCAAUCGUCUCUUUAUGAAGUCAUCUUUUAUUAAAAGAUAUGGACACGCCAAUUUUAUUGUAUAUAGA
rnacentral:sRNA from 1 species